UUGGGAAAUAGAGAAAGCGGCUAGGAAUCUUAAGGAGAGCUAUAGGAAGGAGAAGGUGUAACAAAAGCUUCAAGGUUUUGCAAUCCUAAGGUAGGGGAUGUUCUUAUUGAUGGGUGAAUUGGGCAGUGAGGAUGGUGAGGGUUCCUUACCCUUCCAUCAACGCUAUGGAGUUAGGUAUGACUUCGGUCUAGUGAUGGUCUGGUUUACAGAGAGACUAUGUCGGUCUCACAUUCAGAGAGGGACACGAUUCAAGAGGAACCGAAGAUAUGGGCAAUCAGUAACAUACCUCUGACCCCAAAAACUCAGUACACAUGCAUUUUUGAUGAAGGAGUUAGUGGCAUUAGCAUUUGCAUCACUACUUGAGCUCUGAUUCUGUUCGUGUGAAUGAUGUAUUUGUGAUUAUCGAGUUUACCAUUUUAUUGCUAAAUUUCUCCGUUAUCAUUUGUAAGGUGUAUUCUCAUCCCCUUUUUGUUGUUUUGGCGUCUGUGCUCCUCUGGAGUACAAACAAUCAGGUACUCAACAUGAGUAGUGCUUGUGAGUGGAAAAUGGCCUUAGAGCUAUUCUUCA